rnacentral:tRNA from 2 species
CGCGGGGUGGAGCAGCACGGUAGCUCGUCAGGCUCAUAACCCGAAGGUCGCAGGUUCAAAUCCUGUCCCCGCAACCA